rnacentral:rRNA from 1 species
CGCGUCGUGGUAUUUCGCGUAUUGUAAUUUCAACACGAGCGGGGUCAAAUCAUUUGCAGACGACUUAGCUGUGCGAAACGGUCCUGUAAGCAGUAGAGUAGCCUUGUUGUUACGAUCUGCUGAGGGUAAGCCGUCCUUCGCCUCGAUUU